GCGGUUAUUACAGCAAAAGAGGAUACACCUGUUCCCAUUCCGAACACAGAAGUUAAGCUCUUUAGCGCCGAUGGUACUUGGUGGGAAGCUGCCUGGGAGAGUAGGACGU
rnacentral:rRNA from 1 species